GGUUAAGCGACUAAGCGUACACGGUGGAUGCCCUGGCAGUCAGAGGCGAUGAAGGACGUGCUAAUCUGCGAUAAGCGUCGGUAAGGUGAUAUGAACCGUUAUAACCGGCGAUUUCCGAAUGGGGAAACCCAGUGUGUUUCGACACACUAUCAUUAACUGAAUCCAUAGGUUAAUGAGGCGAACCGGGGGAACUGAAACAUCUAAGUACCCCGAGGAAAAGAAAUCAACCGAGAUUCCCCCAGUAGCGGCGAGCGAACGGGGAGCAGCCCAGAGCCUGAAUCAGUGUGUGUGUUAGUGGAAGCGUCUGGAAAGGCGCGCGAUACAGGGUGACAGCCCCGUACACAAAAAUGCACAUGCUGUGAGCUCGAUGAGUAGGGCGGGACACGUGGUAUCCUGUCUGAAUAUGGGGGGACCAUCCUCCAAGGCUAAAUACUCCUGACUGACCGAUAGUGAACCAGUACCGUGAGGGAAAGGCGAAAAGAACCCCGGCGAGGGGAGUGAAAAAGAACCUGAAACCGUGUACGUACAAGCAGUGGGAGCACAGAGCAAUCUGUGUGACUGCGUACCUUUUGUAUAAUGGGUCAGCGACUUAUAUUCUGUAGCAAGGUUAACCGAAUAGGGGAGCCGAAGGGAAACCGAGUCUUAACUGGGCGUUAAGUUGCAGGGUAUAGACCCGAAACCCGGUGAUCUAGCCAUGGGCAGGUUGAAGGUUGGGUAACACUAACUGGAGGACCGAACCGACUAAUGUUGAAAAAUUAGCGGAUGACUUGUGGCUGGGGGUGAAAGGCCAAUCAAACCGGGAGAUAGCUGGUUCUCCCCGAAAGCUAUUUAGGUAGCGCCUCGUGAAUUCAUCUCCGGGGGUAGAGCACUGUUUCGGCAAGGGGGUCAUCCCGACUUACCAACCCGAUGCAAACUGCGAAUACCGGAGAAUGUUAUCACGGGAGACACACGGCGGGUGCUAACGUCCGUCGUGAAGAGGGAAACAACCCAGACCGCCAGCUAAGGUCCCAAAGUCAUGGUUAAGUGGGAAACGAUGUGGGAAGGCCCAGACAGCCAGGAUGUUGGCUUAGAAGCAGCCAUCAUUUAAAGAAAGCGUAAUAGCUCACUGGUCGAGUCGGCCUGCGCGGAAGAUGUAACGGGGCUAAACCAUGCACCGAAGCUGCGGCAGCGACGCUUAUGCGUUGUUGGGUAGGGGAGCGUUCUGUAAGCCUGCGAAGGUGUGCUGUGAGGCAUGCUGGAGGUAUCAGAAGUGCGAAUGCUGACAUAAGUAACGAUAAAGCGGGUGAAAAGCCCGCUCGCCGGAAGACCAAGGGUUCCUGUCCAACGUUAAUCGGGGCAGGGUGAGUCGACCCCUAAGGCGAGGCCGAAAGGCGUAGUCGAUGGGAAACAGGUUAAUAUUCCUGUACUUGGUGUUACUGCGAAGGGGGGACGGAGAAGGCUAUGUUGGCCGGGCGACGGUUGUCCCGGUUUAAGCGUGUAGGCUGGUUUUCCAGGCAAAUCCGGAAAAUCAAGGCUGAGGCGUGAUGACGAGGCACUACGGUGCUGAAGCAACAAAUGCCCUGCUUCCAGGAAAAGCCUCUAAGCAUCAGGUAACAUCAAAUCGUACCCCAAACCGACACAGGUGGUCAGGUAGAGAAUACCAAGGCGCUUGAGAGAACUCGGGUGAAGGAACUAGGCAAAAUGGUGCCGUAACUUCGGGAGAAGGCACGCUGAUAUGUAGGUGA
rnacentral:rRNA from 1 species